UACAUUUUGGUCAAACAGACAAGUCAAACUUAAAGAUGAUCAUAUAUGGUUAAAGAUGAUUUUAUAUGGUUAUAUAAAAAUAUAAUCAUUUUACAGGGCUCACCUUCAAGAGGCAGCCAAUCUGGUGGACAGAGUGGAUGUGAUUGCUCUGGUGCAAGUUCUAGUGGAUCAUCUUCCUCACUGAGAAGUAAUUCCUCUUCAAAUGUAAGCAGUAUUCAUCAUUUUAAGGGUACCCUGCGUUUGUUUAGUCAGUAUGAUAGCUAG
rnacentral:lncRNA from 1 species